CAAAACCAAACCCCACCAGGCAGUCAUCAGAUCAGGCUGAAUAAAGG
rnacentral:rRNA from 1 species